UACGUAGGGUGCGAGCGUUGUCCGGAAUUAUUGGGCGUAAAGAGCUCGUAGGCGGUGUGUCACGUCGGCCGUGAAAACCUGCAGCUUAACUGUGGGCGUGCGGUCGAUACGGGCAUCACUGGAGUUCGGCAGGGGAGACUGGAAUUCCUGGUGUAGCGGUGAAAUGCGCAGAUAUCAGGAGGAACACCGGUGGCGAAGGCGGGUCUCUGGGCCGAUACUGAC
rnacentral:rRNA from 1 species